GCUUUUUCUCGGAUUUGUUUAGUGUUUUUCUAAAACUUUAGAGUAAUGAAAGUGUAUGUGAGAGCGAAUGCAUGCCAGAACGCGAAAACCACCAUGCAAUUUGAUAAACGGGAAUAACGGGAUUGAUCGAUACGUAGUGUUUGAGCACAAAAGUACUGUGAACAAAUUAAAAAAUUUCCAAUUUUCUGUACGUGCAUAUUCUAUUAACUAUUGUAGUUGGAUGAAACAAAGGGAGAAAAUGAAACAGAAACACGAAGUAUAAAGAAGGGGGAAAUGGGCUAUAUUCGGCUCAGACCUGGUGCUGAUCUUCUGAUGCGCACGACUUAUUUUUAGUUUUCUUGUUUGAAAAUGUAAUUUAGAGAGACCACUCAAAAAGGGAAUAUAUGUUUUGCAGCCGAUGUUACAGUAAGCAGUACACCUUUCAUCGCCAGUGAAAGUGCUUCAUCAUGCAGCACGUCAUAAGCUGAGAUUUGUUUGAUGAACUGCCCUAAGGCUAUCUCAAAUAGAUAGCUUGUUAAGCUUAUGCCAAAAGCGGCCUUUAUAUAUACAUAUAAAUACCAUAACUAAGGGUAGUGUGCAGAACAGAAUUCAACUUGAGGUCACGUUCCGUUUUUAAUUAACCUUCUUUGGCAAAUUAUUUUUUCGACACCAUUCAAAAUAUUAGAUAGAAAAUUCUUAACGUAGGUUGUUUUUAAUUCUUGCGCUUAUUGUUUUUAAAUCAAAAACUUUCAGACAGCUGAGACGCCAUGGCUCCAUUUGACCGUCCUCAAGCACGAUAAAUACACGGACUGGCUGGUUUCUUGCGUGGAUAUAUUCAUUUAUCGAAAUGUUCACAACACUUUUAUAAUUUAUUUUUAUUGGUUUUAAAACUAGAUUUAUCGUGUACAUCAAUUUUACUCAUUUCAAGAAACUAAUUUAAAAAAGAGAAUGAAGCGUCAUAUCAGAAGGGGUCGGAAAAUGGUCCGACCCGAACCAUUUGCUACAGCGUUUGUUCUUGAGCCAAAACACGUCAAUGUACCAAAUUUCAUCGAAAUAUCUUAAAAAUUUCAGAAUGUAGAUCGAACGUAAAAAUAUAAGACGGACAAACUGACAGACAAGAUUAAAUAGGUUCAGAAAGUGAGUGUGAAUCGUUCGGUAUAAUAAAAGGCGGGUCUAUCUCAAGUCCUGCUGAGUAUUGCACCCAUCCGCAUAAACUUAACCUUACUACAGAUGACGAAAAAAAUGA